rnacentral:sRNA from 1 species
AUGUAUAAACCAUACAUUCCGGUUCCUGUGCUCCGGCCGCCACGCUCUGACGAGCGCUCGUUACUUUUACGUUUGAGCAUGCUAUUAACAGCC